rnacentral:ribozyme from 1 species
CUUAUUUUCCUUUUCUUCCCCACCACUUUUUUUCUUUUUUUCUUUCUGUUUUUAGUUACC